AUAAAAAAAAAAUCCAUUAUUUUGCAAAAUUUCCUUUUUUAACUUUGUAAGACACUACAAACAAAUAAAGAACUUUUAAACUUUCCGAGGCAGAGUCAGUAGGUUUUUUCGUUUUUAGGUUAUAGGUUAUAGGCUAUAGAUUACAAUCAUAUAAAUCGAAUGUAAAAGGCACCUCACUACAAUAAUCAGUUUUGCGACGCAGUUGUCACAUCACAUCGCAGAGGCAAACCAUGCACUUCAGACACUUCAUUUUCGUCUUUCUGACUAUGGCUCUCAUCCUCGGAGCUGCCAAGGCUUUGCCUGGGGAACAAAACUCAAAUGUGGACACCCCGGACGAACCUUCUUCAGAGGAGCACUCCGACUCCGGCUUGAUUGUGUGUUUAAUUCCCACACCCGAACCCCGCUGCCCUGAUGGGCAAAUAAGAUUUCGCGGGAGAUGCAGGAUAACUGUCUGGUCUGGCAAAUAAAAGGCAUACGGCUGGACAGAAAAUAAUGUGAUUGCAGUUGCAGUUGGCAAUAAAGAAGCAAAUUUCUUUGGAUAGACGGGAUAGAGGCACACAUAUAUUUGAUUUCUGUAUUUAAUGGACAUAUUAAAUACGCGUGUAUUUUCAAGCAAUCGACAUAUUUCAUAUUUUCAACUCACAUAACAGUAAGAUUAAAUUGAAAAAAUGUUGCUGCAGAUGAAAAUAUAGUAUCCAAAAUAUUAUUUUACUAAAAUGUAUUAUUCAUUUACAUUUGUUAAAAACCAAGCGUAUUUUUUAACCUCAAAAUUCGAUAUAUUUUCAAUUUCUUUGACGAAUGAAAGAAAAAGAGCAUCAAGGGCGUUGUGUAAAUAUUAUUUAUUACGUCUGUUCCCUGGCUCUGGUUACAUUUUUCUAAAUGAUCGACCGUGUUCACUCUUGAUGAAAACUUUGAAACAUCUUAAACCUGGAUUUUUUCAUAUACUUGAAAACAUGCUCAAAAAGGGAGUGCAUAAAUAAAAAAUAUGCAAACGUGUAGCUUAUAUUGAAAGUUCAAAUAUAUGAUCUGUUUGUUGAUUUGAAGCCAAAGUUUUAGAGGGCAGCCAUAUAACCAGUCAGCGAUAAGCGAUAAAUCACAAACUUGACCCUGUCUGCUCGUGUUGUGGAAACAGUCUUGCAGUUCGCAUCAUGCUCUUCAGACACUUAACAUGCUUCCUCCUGGCUUUUUUCCUAAUCCUGGGUGCUGCCGUGACGUUGACUGUGGCACACAACUCCUCAGUGGACAGCUCAUCGGAGGGAGAUUUGAAACCAAUUGGUCAAUCGCUUUUCGAUCAUUUGACAAAAAAAUCAAGAGGUCGCACCAACACCAAGUCAUAGUUCUAAAAGACGCAACAAUUGGCUGAAGAGUGUUAAAAACAGCUCAGCGCACAUCACUCUUCUGAACAUUUUGUAACCAAAUAAAGAUUUUUUCCUAAGCACUUCUUUCAUUGGCAUGGAAAGAUAAUUAACUAUAACUCAAUAACAUUUUGAGUUUUUUCUAUCAUCAAUCAAUCCUUAACAAUUACUAAAAAUGCAUUAAUUAUUAUUGUAUUUGCUUCCACCCACUCCAUAGUUUUGAGACAGAGAAAAUUAGCAUACUUGUUUCUCAGCUUGUGAAUUUAAUUAAAAUUGUUACUAAAAGCUUUGAGAACGAGAAAUUUCGACUUAUCUUUAUGGAUGUGGAAAAAUUUUGUCUUGAAAUCCGCUAUUAUAACAAAAAAUAAAAGGAAUCACCAAAGUGAGGAGAAAAAGCUGCGUUUUGUUGACAAAUAUUAUUAAUUUUUAUCUCAAGCUCUGGUAAGAAUUUAAAUUGCUAAAAUCAUAAUCUUCCCUUAAUUUAAUUUGUUGUUUGUGGAAAAUAUCCGAAAAACUCUUAAGUUCAUAAUUUAUUUGCAGUCUAGCAAAGUCAGUUAAGAAAUGUUGAACAAAAUGUUAGUUUUUUCUCAAUCUUGAACCUAAAAAUUAUUCGUCAAAUUACCCCAAAAAUCAGAAACAUCGCCUAGUUCAUCUCGAAAAACGGUUUUUAGCCGGGAAAAAUAGUUGACAACUAAUUAUUAUGACUUUCUUAUUUAUCCUUAAAUCUCCAUAACAAUCGAAUCUCACACUAAUUUUAUUUCAGCAUAUUUUUCUGGAGUUAUUGAAAUGCGUCAUACAUAAUUGAUUCACAAAUUUAAUCUUUUACUGUAUGUUAUUUCUGCACAAGAUACAAAGUUCAAGCUACAGAGGCACCAGUCAGAUUAGCUUUUCCUCUUAGUCGCGUAUUUAAUCACCGCUUCAAUCACAUCCGAGACCUAUAAGCCCAGAUGAUGAUAUGCACUGGCAAUACAUGGCCUACAGGCAAGAAUUCAAUUAUUUUAAUUGUACGUGAAUGGAAAUAGUAUUAUUUAUUUAUUCCUAAUACAUGAAAUGACAAUUUUUUUAUUUUGGGAAACAAUAAGCGAAUUGAACUGGUCUUCAGACACUGCAGACUUCUAGCUCUUUGCACCAUCUGGACAUGGCGUAGUACAAGCUGACGCUGUGGCAGACGACGUUGAAGAGCGCAAGACUGCCGGCGAUGAUGUUUUCUUCUUUGACAUCUGAGUACGGCGCCGACGACCAAAUAACCAACUGCGCGAUGCCAGCAGACGCGUACAGAAUGGCCAGGCAAAUUACCAACAGCGUUUC